AAUGAAACACUGGUUCUCAUCUGAUCGUCAGUUAAGCAUUAUUGAACCUAGUCAGUAUCUAGAUGGGUGACCACUUAGGAAUACCAGGUGCUGUAAG